rnacentral:rRNA from 1 species
CGUAACACGUAUGCAACUUUCCUUCAACUGGAAGAUAGCCCGAAGAAAUUCGGAUUAAUACUCCAUAAUUAUAUGAAAUGGCAUCAUUUUAUAUUUAAAGCUCAGGCGGUUGAAGAUGGGCAUGCGUUCGAUUAGCUAGUUGGUGAGGUAAUGGCUCACCAAGGCUACGAUCGAUAGGGGAUCUGAGAGGAUUAACCCCCACACUGGUACUGAGACACGGACCAG